UGGGGAAUAUUGGACAAUGGGGGAAACCCUGAUCCAGCAAUGCCGCGUGAGUGAUGAAGGCCCUUGGGUUGUAAAGCUCUUUCGCCUGCGAAGAUAAUGACGGUAGCAGGAUAAGAAGUCCCGGCUAACUCCGUGCCAGCAGCCGCGGUAAGACGGAGGGGACUAGCGUUGUUCGGAAUGACUGGGCGUAAAGGGUGCGUAGGCGGCCUCUUAAGUAAGGCGUGAAAUCCCCGGGCUUAACCUGGGAAUUGCGCUUUAGACUGAGAGGCUUGAGUAUGAGAGAGGGAAGUGGAAUUCCUAGUGUAGGGGUGAAAUCCGUAGAUAUUAGGAAGAACACCAGAGGCGAAGGCGACUUCCUGGAUCAUUACUGACGCUGAGGCACGAAAGCGUGGGGAGCGAAAAGG
rnacentral:rRNA from 1 species